rnacentral:lncRNA from 1 species
AUGGAUCCUGUGUGUGUUCACUUCUCUGCCCACGCGGCUCCCAUCCAGACCACUGCGGCAGCUUCUGAGCUGGUCUAUGUGCUACGUGUUCUCCGCAUGCAGGCAGCCACUCUCUUAAAAGACGGAAGCUGUCUUAGGAUGUGUGCCCCAGCAGCAGACCCUGAGAUGAGGAUUUGUGUGAAGAUGGGUAAGCUUCUUUGUGCCUGAAAUGAGAAACAAUCCAAAGGUCUGACAGCUGGUAAAUGGAUGGAUACAAUGUGGCACAUCCACACAGUGGAAUACUACUGAGCAAUAAAAAGGAAGUAAGUCCCGAUACA